rnacentral:rRNA from 1 species
GGUUAAGUGACUAAGCGUACACGGUGGAUGCCUUGGCAGUCAGAGGCGAUGAAGGACGUAGUAACUUGCGAUAAGCGUAGAUGAGGCAGUAACAGCCACUUGAGUCUACGAUUUCCGAAUGGGGAAACCCACUGGCAUAAGCCAGUAUCAUUGAGUGAAUACAUAGCUCAAUGAAGCGAACCGGGAGAACUGAAACAUCUAAGUACCCCGAGGAAAAGAAAUCAACCGAGAUUCCGAAAGUAGCGGCGAGCGAAAUUGGAUUAGCCCUUAAGCUUUACAUGUGUUAGACGAACGGUCUGGAAAGUCCGACGAUACAGGGUGAUAGUCCCGUAGUUGUAGAUGCAUGUUCAGUGAAAUCGAGUAGGGCGGGACACGUGUUAUCCUGUCUGAAUAUGGGGGGACCAUCCUCCAAGGCUAAAUACUCCUGACUGACCGAUAGUGAACCAGUACCGUGAGGGAAAGGCGAAAAGAACCCCUGUGAGGGGAGUGAAAUAGAACCUGAAACCGUGUACGUACAAGCAGUAGGAGCACCUUCGUGGUGUGACUGCGUACCUUUUGUAUAAUGGGUCAGCGACUUAUAUUCAGUGGCAAGGUUAACCAUCUAGGGGAGCCGUAGGGAAACCGAGUCUUAACUGGGCGCCAUAGUCUCUGGAUAUA